GAUGAACGCUAGCGACAGGCCUAACACAUGCAAGUCGAGGGGCAGCACGAAUCAAGCUUGCUUGAUUUGGUGGCGACCGGCGCACGGGUGCGUAACAGGUGUGCAAUCUGUCCAUAAUCGGGGAAUAGCCCAGCGAAAGUUGGAUUAAUGCUCCAUGUGAGUUUUAGAGGCAUCUCUUUAAUUUGAAACGCAAGGAUUAUGGGUGAGCACGCUUCUGAUUAGGUAGUUGGUGAGGUAACGGCUCACCAAGCCGACGAUCAGUAGGGGUUCUGAGAGGAAGGUCCCCCACAUUGGAACUGAGACACGGUCCAAACUCCUACGGGAGGCAGCAGUGAGGAAUAUUGGUCAAUGGACGAAAGUCUGAACCAGCCAAGUCGCGUGAAGGAUGAAGGUUCUAUGGAUUGUAAACUUCUUUUGUCUGAGGGUAAAAAAGCGGACGUGUCCGUUCUUGCAAGUAUCAGACGAAUAAGCAUCGGCUAACUCCGU
rnacentral:rRNA from 1 species